rnacentral:rRNA from 1 species
UUCUCUGUAGAGUCUGCAUAUCAAUAAGCGGAGGAAAAGAAACUAACAAGGAUUCCCUUAGUAACGGCGAGUGAAGCGGGAAGAGCUCAAAUUUGAAAUCUUCAAGGUUUUACCUUGACGAAUUGUAGUUUAAAGAAGUGUUUUCUGUUGAAGUUUCGGUAAAAGUUCUUUGGAAUAGGACAUCAUAGAGGGUGAGAAUCCCGUAUUUGACCGUUAUUUUCAGCUGUGUGAUACACUUUCAAAGAGUCGGAUUGUUUGGGAAUGCAGUCCAAAAUGGGUGGUAAAUUUCAUCUAAAGCUAAAUAUUGGCGAGAGACCGAUAGCGAACAAGUACCGUGAGGGAAAGAUGAAAAGAACUUUGAAAAGAGAGUUAAACAGUACGUGAAAUUGUCAAAAGGGAAGCGUUUGACACCAGUGUUGUUUUUCCGAAAAUCAAUUACGAAUGGCUUGAUUUUGUGUUGUAUUGACCUUAUCAGCUUUCUUCACUUUUUUCGAGUCUUUCUUAAUGCACUUUUCGGUUAACAAGUCAACAUCAAUUUCUUUUGUUGUAAAAGAGUAUUCGGAAGGUGGCUUUCUUUUCGGAGAAAGUGUUUAUAGCCCUAUACUUCUACAAUCGGAGGGAUUGAGGUCUGCAGCGUAGAUCCUUCGGGGUUAGAUACACUUGUGCUAAGUUGUAGCUUUUCAUAGACAACUUGUUGACUAUGUUUAGUCAUGCGGCUUACUCGCUUGUGCUAUUUUACCUACGCUUAGGAUGUUGACUGAUAUGUAGUCGUA